UAUUUUAGGAUCAAAUCCACAUUUCAUUGCAAAAGCCCUUUCCUGAAAUUAGAUGUGAGGAUGUGCGGAGAAUGAUAAAUGAGCUUUCUAUCAAGGUAUCAGUAGUCAAUUAUAAGUUGCUCAUUUGAACUUUUAAUUUAAGUUGUAAAAGUAAUUUAAAGAAGAAGAUAUUUACAGUUCCUUAGUUGUACAAAUUGUCCCAUAAUCAUACAUCUUCUCAAUCUUGAUAUUUUUAGCACUUAACCCAGAAUUUCACAUUUAUGUUAUUUGCCAAAAAUGUUAGUUACAUCCUUAUCAAUCUGAAGCUUUCAAAUAUUCAAAUUUAUAGAAUGAUUAAUCUAUUCUCUUCUUUUUAGGACCUCCAUGUAUUGUACCCUCAUCUUCUUGCCAGUAUUUUUAGCGUCAUUCCCAACAAAGGCUGGGCUUUACACACUCUACAUCGUAGAUCACUGGAAGGUUUUUGACGUUUCCUUGGUCCCCACGGUCCUGUGUGGAGUCUCGUUGAAAAACUGGACAGAGAUUCUUUCCUUCGUUAUGAGUUUCCUAUCACAUGCUUACCUGUAAGUUGACAUGAUCCAGCGUAUCA